GACGAACGCUGGCGGCGUGCUUAACACAUGCAAGUCGAGCGAUGAACCUUUCAUGAAUUUUUCGGAAUGAUUGGAAGAGGAUUAGCGGCGGACGGGUGAGUAACGCGUGAGCAACCUGCCUUAAACAACGGGAUAGCCUCGGGAAACCGGGAUUAAUACCGUAUGAGACCCCGCCUUCACAUGAAGAAGAGGUUAAAGAUUUAUCGGUUUAAGAUGGGCUCGCGUCUGAUUAGCUAGUUGGGGAGAUAAAAGCCCACCAAGGCAACGAUCAGUCACCGGCUUGCGAGAGUGAACGGUCACAUUGGAACUGCGACACGGUCCAAACUCCUACGGGAGGCAGCAGUGGGGAAUAUUUCACAAUGGGGGAAACCCUGAUGCAGCGACGCCGCGUGAGCGAUGAAGGAAUUCGUUUCGUAAAGCUCUGUCCAAGGGGAAGAUAAUGACAGUACCCUUGGAGGAAGCCCCGGCUAAAUACGUGCCAGCCGCCGCGGUAA
rnacentral:rRNA from 1 species